AUGACCUGUGUGCCAAGGAAUGGGCCAGCGGUUCAGAUGUCCUCCCUAUUAGGAGUGAAUCUCCAGCUCCAGAUCAACUGCGAGAACAAACCAGCAAUCCCGAGAAGACCCAUAGACACUCUGAACGAAGCGGACUGCUCCUGCAGGACCUGGAAGACACCCCAAAUGCUCCUUUGGAGGACUACUCAGAUGAUAGGAAGAAGUGGUUGAAAAAGAAAGAGAAACAAGAUGAAAGGAUUCAUGACUUUUCUGGAAAGUAUAAAAAGCUAUUUUUUGCCUCGUCCUCUUUAUUUAGUUGGCAAUA
rnacentral:lncRNA from 1 species